rnacentral:rRNA from 1 species
UACGUAGGGAGCAAGCGUUGUUCGGAUUUACUGGGCGUAAAGGGCGCGUAGGCGGCAAUUCAAGUCACUUGUGAAAUCUCCGGGCUUAACUCGGAACGGUCAAGUGAUACUGCUUUGCUAGAGUGCGGAAGGGGCAAUCGGAAUUCUCGGUGUAGCGGUGAAAUGCGUAGAUAUCGAGAGGAACACCAGUGGCGAAGGCGGUUGCCUGGGGCUUUGCUGACGCUGAUGCGCGAAAGCGUGGGGAGCAAACAGG